AAGUCGUAACAAGGUUUCCGUAGGUGAACCUGCGGAAGGAUCAUUACAUUGUAUUGUCAGGGGGCUUGGUUUCGGCCGGGCUCUAUCUGCACAUUACCCCUGUUUUUUGCGUACCUCUUGUUUCCUCGGCAGGCUCGCCUGCCAGUAGGACCUUUUUUUAAACUCUUUUGUAUUAGCAAUCAGCGUCAGAAAAUUAUAAAUGGUUACAACUUUCAACAACGGAUCUCUUGGUUCUG
rnacentral:misc_RNA from 1 species